rnacentral:lncRNA from 10 species
CAGCCCUGAAACAGCAGUGGCAGAGGCCUCUGCACACUGACACUCUGAGACACCUAAAAUAAAGUUUCUUUCAAGUAAAUGUCCCGUAGCUCAGAAAUGGAAGCUAAACAGCCACAUAUACCUGUGGUACCCCCGACAGGCCGAGGCCGGGCCACCGACGGCAUCUCCUCCGAGUAGAUCCCUCUGGCAGCAAAUGGGGCUUCGGCGGAGGCCUGUGGCUGCUGAGGGUCAGGGGGCACCAGCUCUGUAGACUGCAGCAAACCGGGGCCAAAACCUGGUCUGAAGGCAAAGCAAACCAGCACAUCAGGACUCCACUGCACCCUGGCCUUGGUAUUCCAUGAGGUCCACCCCCAACCUUACAGAAGAGUCUGAAGCUCUGGCAUGACCAGGCCCUCACGCAACACAGAAACCACCAACUGCCGUGAAGCAGCGACUGCCCUCGUGGGAUGGGGUAGGUGCUCUUCUCUCCACGGCAGUCCCCACUGGCGACCUCCCUCUCUUGCACAUGACACUCUUGGGCUUAUGAGUCCAUUUCUCCCAACUGCAACAUCCCACUGGAGGUUCUACUAAAUGAGAUUUGUCACUGAGGAAUCCUAAUUGAGAAUCUGGGGCCCCAAGGUGGCCUCUAGUUGAUGAUGUCACCUUGGAAGGAACCUGUGCUCCUUUCCUUGUGAGGUGGAUAAAGGUCCACAGUCAUGCCCUUCUCCAAUUCUUGAUUUUCUUGAGGAGCAGAUGAGGAAGCCUGGUCGGCAGUGUACCACCAACCUAGAGCUCACGGGUGGAAAGAAGGGAGGGUGUGUCUGGAAGAACAGCCCACUGGUAAAAGGGUUUCUCCAGAAACAGAAGCGAUGUUCCUGGCGGUGAUUCCGGUGGCUGCGUAUGUGACUCUACUGCAAGGAAGCAAGUAGUGUGGUGACACAAAAAACUGCAGGCACAAACUGAGAUUCCACUGUGGGAAACGAUCUCAGACAUUUGAGCAGAGUCCCCAGCGGCUAUAACCACUGCCAAUCUCAUUCUCAGUGGCCAGAAUUUCAGAGAAGGCUAAACUUCUAUACCGAGAGAGAUGAUCUGCAGAUGGGAAGGACAGUCCCCUUGGAUUCCCAAUGGCCCCCGUGAAUCCUGCCAGAAGGCCAGGAGCUCCUGGGCCAGGACACUUCCUCUUCCUGUCCUUCACCUUCUUGUUUUCUCCUCAUUUUGCAGGCGAGACUAUCAGAACUUGCAGGCCAAGAAGAGGAUUUACUCAAUUUCCUAUAUUCUACCAUCUAUAUUUAGACUAUAGAUGUUUCACACAUAGAUGUGUUCAGAUACAGUUUAUCAGUCUUCAGAAAUAAAUGUACAUCUUUUCACUGUUUACGGAUUUUGGUGCCUAUUUAGCAGUCCUUUGUGGGUGUUGCAAGAGGGUGACCAGACAGCCUGGUUGUCCAGGACAACCUCAGUUUAUGCCUGUUGUCCCACGGUCAUUAUUAAUAGAACACCCC